rnacentral:tRNA from 1 species
GGAGAGAUGCAGGAGUGGUUUAACUGGCGGUCCUGGAAAGACCGUGUAUCUUAACCGGUACCGGGGGUUCGAAUCCCCCUCUCUCCG